UACAGAGGGGGCAAGCGUUGUUCGGAAUUACUGGGCGUAAAGGGCGCGUAGGCGGCCUGCUAAGUCGAACGUGAAAUCCCUGGGCUCAACCCAGGAACUGCGUCCGAUACUGGUUGGCUUGAAUCCGGGAGAGGGAUGUGGAAUUCCAGGUGUAGCGGUGAAAUGCGUAGAUAUCUGGAGGAACACCGGUGGCGAAGGCGACAUCCUGGACCAUUACUGACACUGAAAAGCGAAAGCCAGGGGAGCAAACGGG
rnacentral:rRNA from 1 species